AGUCUAGUAGUUCAAUUGGUAGAACGCUUGCCUGUCACGUAAGAGGUUGCCGGUUCGAGUCCGGUCUAGACUG
rnacentral:tRNA from 1 species